CUACGGGGGGCACCAGUCGGGAAUAUUGCGCAAUGGAGGAAACUCUGACGCAGUGACGCCGCGUAUAGGAAGAAGGUUUUCGGAUUGUAAACUAUUGUCGUUAGGGAAGAUAAAAGACAGUACCUAAGGAGGAAGCUCCGGCUAACUACGUGCCAGCAGCCGCGGUAAUACGUAGGGAGCAAGCGUUAUCCGGAUUUAUUGGGUGUAAAGGGUGCGUAGACGGGAAGACAAGUUAGUUGUGAAAUCCCUCGGCUUAACUGAGGAACUGCAACUAAAACUAUUUUUCUUGAGUGUUGGAGAGGAAAGUGGAAUUCCUAGUGUAGCGGUGAGAUGCGUAGAUAUUAGGAGGAACACCGGUGGCGAAGGCGACUUUCUGGACAAUAACUGACGUUGAGGCACGAAAGUGUGGGGAGCAAACAGGAUUAGAUACCCGAGUAGUC
rnacentral:rRNA from 1 species